GUAGUAUUCCCUCCAUCCCAAAAAUUCUUGUCUUACAUUUGUUUAGAUACGGAUGUAUCUAACACUAAAAUGUAACUAGAUACAUCCGUAUUUAGACAAAUUUAAGACAAGAAUUUUGGGACGGAGGGAGUACAAA
rnacentral:pre_miRNA from 1 species